UGUUAAAAUCUGUGGAAAAUUGGAAAAGUAUAAAGGACAUCGUUUCAGGAAGAAAAAAGAAUCCUCUUCAAUUUCUCUAUAUGUUCUCUCUCUUUACAAAGGUGAAAUCAAGGGUAUUAUAUACAUAAAUGGACGUAACCGCCCCAACUAAUCUAAUAAAAAAGGUUACAGAAAACAGUUAUACAGAAUGUCUCCUGUAUCUAGUACAGUUAUACAGAAUCUAUCCUGUAUCUAGGACAACUAUCUGCCCGUUAUUAGCAACCUCACUAGUGACUCGAGUAGCGACAUCCAUAUGCGACCUCAGGACACUUGUAGUUUGAGCAACUUCAGAGUGAACGACGACCUCAUGGUGUGAAGGCUGGGAGGUCGUACUCUCAACAGCCGGUGGCAAUCGAGGUAAUGGGAACCUGGACGACCAAAUUGCUCAGCUGAUGCAGUGCAAGCCCUUGUCGGAGCAAGAGAUAAGGGUGUUGUGCCAGAAGGCCAAGGAGAUUCUGAUGAAAGCAAUCUGCAGCCUGUGAAAAGCCCAGUGACCAUAUGUGGUGAUAUUCAUGGGCAGUUCCAUGAUCUUGCGGAACUCUUUCGGAUUGGUGGAAAGGCAGUAAUCAUGUUUGUGUUGAGGGGGCAUUGACAUGUUGCCGCGACAACCACAUUGGUCGUUGUGAUCCUGGAAUGGAUGACAAAAAGUGCAAUGAGAUGUGCAAAGAGGGUUGCUCUAAAGGAGGUUUCUGCAAAGUUCUCAAUAAAAAACCCCCCAACCAUUAUUGUCAUUGCUAUUGUUGAAGUCUCAGUGCAGCAAGCAACUCUCACCAUCAUUUAAGCUAGCCAAUAUGUAUCUUUCUGUGUGAGCUUCAUAAACAUAUAUAAUUCCAUAAUAAUGCAAAAACCUUAAACAUUA